rnacentral:lncRNA from 1 species
UUCACAGGCCAUGAAGGAGGAACACUGUCCAUGGGAGUGCCCUCUACUCACCUAAAAGAAUCAGAAGGUAGCUGGAAGCAGACAACCACAGUGAUGUAGAGCCUGGAGCACACAGUAUGGAAGAGAAGCGCCGAAGAGAUAUGGGUGGGGAAAAGUGGAGAAGAAUAGACACCGUGACUUCCGCUGAUCCUCAGUUUGAGAUGGAAUGUUCCCUGUUUGCCUGCUUGUGGAUGCAUGUUUUGACUACAGAAGCUAGUCUUUGGAGAGAUACAAGUACUACAAAACAUGGUAUGUUAGUGGCCUGUCUUUUUAGUUUUGAAGCCACCUCCUCCAUUUUCCUCUGUGCCUCAGCUAUCCAAAAUUCUCUGCCUUCAGUGCUUUAUUUACUGAUAGCUUUUGGCAGCAAACUCAAUUACUUUGUCCCCUCAAGAUAA